CCCCUAGAUGUUCUGGGCCGCACGCGCGCUACACUGAACAGUUCAACAAGUCUUAACCUUGGCCGAUAGGUCUGGGUAAUCUUUGAACGCUGUUCGUGAUUGGGAUAGACCUUUGCAAUUAUGGGUCUUCAACGAGGAAUUCCUAGUAAACGCAAGUCAUCAGCUUGCAUUGAUUACGUCCCUGCCCUUUGUACACACCGCCCGUCGCACCUACCGAUUGAAUGGUACGGUGAAAUCUCGGGACGGCGGCUUGGUCGCUUGCGUCCGACUGCUGAAACUUGAUUAAACCAUAUCAUUUAGAGGAAGGUGAAGUCGUAACA
rnacentral:rRNA from 1 species